AAUUUUCUUUUCCCUGAGUAAUUAAGAAUAAAAUAUUAGUCAAAUUGCAAUAAAAAAAAAAAAUUUCAAGAACAACACAAGUUCAGCAUCUUGGCUUAACAUCACAGCCGUGCCUUGCCUAAUUAAGCGGAUAAAUUUUAUUCAACAAUCUUAUCAAGAUUCUGAUACAUGGUUCCUGCACUCUCAAGGAUAAACUUCAAUUAGGGACCUUAAACCAAGUACGGGUGUUAUCUUGUAGUGACUGAAACCGGCCUUCAAGAAUAGCUCUUCCCAUUCUUUCUCCGUUCUCUCUCUUCCGGUAGUCACAUACAUCAUCAGCAUGUCAAAGAGUAGCUUUGUUUCUGUCAAUUCAUCUUCAUCUUUCUUCUCAUUUAUCACCAAGUCUAUGACAAUCACCUUUCCUCCCUUUCCUUUGCUAGAAAUGGCUUCUUUGCAUUUCUUCAGUAUUUUCAGGCAUUCCUCAUCACUCCAACCGUGCAAAAUUAACUUAAGUAUGAUGGCAUCUGCAGCAGGGACGUGCUGAAACAUAUCACCUCCGACAUAAUUCAAGUUCUUAGUGCCUUCUAAAUUGGCAAUGACCUGAGGAAUUUCAAGAACAGUGCAUUUCAUACGAGGGAAUGCCUCUGAUAUGAUCCUGGCCAAGGAUCCAUUACCGCCUCCCACAUCAACCAAUGAAUUCACCCCUUCAAAAAUUGCCUUGCAGUCUCUAAUGACCAAAUUCAUCAUCUGAGAAUCACUGGCCAUUGCUUCAUUAAAAAGCUGGUUAAAUUCAGGGUUUCUAUCAUUAUAUUCCCAAAAUGCCAUUCCAUGUGCUUUCUCAAAUACUGUGACCUCGUUGCCUCGAAACCAAUCUCCCAAGACAUGCCCUAGAGUUACAAAAUCUGGCUUAAGCAAUGAAUUAACGAAGGGUGUCAAGCAAUUGGGGUUAUCCUUGACAAGGAGCUUAGAAGAUGAUGUUAGAACAUAAGCUUCUUGUCCUUCUUCUUGAGCAUUAGGAGCUUUUGUGGUAGAAAAGAAUCCAGAGAACACCAGCAUGCGCAUGAACCGGUAGACGAAACAGGUUUUGGUUGGGUGGAUGCCAAGUGCUGAGACGAGCUCAGGAAGGGUGAUGGGUUUGCCAUGGUUGUGAAUUAUGUCUGGUAUGCCCAGCUGAACUGCGCACUUGAGUGACAUAGAAUUGAUGUAGUUAAAUAUGUGAUUAUACAAAUGAACUUGAGCUUGCAACAGUUCAUUUGCACUCCGGCUAUGCAUGGAAUCCAUAACCAGGAAAUUCACCAAAAUUCUGGCAGAUGGUGGAAUGGAAAUACCCCCCUUUUUUU
rnacentral:misc_RNA from 1 species